ensembl:snRNA U6 U6 spliceosomal RNA
GUGCUCGCUUCAGCAGCACAUAUACUAACAUUGGAACAAUACAGACAAGAUUAGCAUGGCCCCUGAGCAAGGAUGACACACAAAUUCGUGAAGCAUUCUGUAUUUUU